AACAGUGUGAAGAAAUAAAGAUAUAAAGAGUCUGAUAUUUCGUUUUUUAAGUCUAUGAUGAUACGUUUUAUUGUAGAUCUGAGCUAAUGCAUUUUGUUCUUUUUAAAACAUCGUCUGGUGUUUUAGGCCUCACAGGGAUCAAACUCUUCCUUUAAUGGGACAGUGGGAUGUAAUUUAAUGGCUCAACAAGGCUGGUUCUGUGAUGAUGGAUGGAGCCGGUAUUUACCAUCUCCCCUGAGGUGAUGGUGAUUCUCCUGUUCCAGACUUUGAUUACAGGUCAAGCGAACACAGUCGUCUACAGGAAAGUAGGAGAUGAAGUCGUCCUGAGUCCAGGCUCUGAGGCUUCACCCGUCAGCAGGAUCA